CACAAAAAUGCACAUGCUGUGAGCUCGAUGAGUAGGGCGGGACACGUGGUAUCCUGUCUGAAUAUGGGGGGACCAUCCUCCAAGGCUAAAUACUCCUGACUGACCGAUAGUGAACCAGUACCGUGAGGGAAAGGCGAAAAGAACCCCGGCGAGGGGAGUGAAAAAGAACCUGAAACCGUGUACGUACAAGCAGUGGGAGCACGCUUAGGCGUGUGACUGCGUACCUUUUGUAUAAUGGGUCAGCGACUUAUAUUCUGUAGCAAGGUUAACCGAAUAGGGGAGCCGAAGGGAAACCGAGUCUUAACUGGGCGUUAAGUUGCAGGGUAUAGAC
rnacentral:rRNA from 1 species